UGAGUAGCCUGCCCUUAACUCUGGGAUAAGCCUGGGAAACUGGGUCUAAUACCGGAUAUGACUCCUCAUCGCAUGGUGGGGGGUGGAAAGCUUUUUGUGGUUUUGGAUGGACUCGCGGCCUAUCAGCUUGUUGGUGAGGUAAUGGCUCACCAAGGCGACGACGGGUAGCCGGCCUGAGAGGGUGACCGGCCACACUGGGACUGAGACACGGCCCAGACUCCGUACGGGAGCAG
rnacentral:rRNA from 1 species